rnacentral:rRNA from 1 species
ACUCAAAACUCAAAGGACUUGACGGUGUCCCAAAUCAACCUAGAGGAGCCUGUCCUAUAAUCGAUAAUCCACGCUACACCUCACCCCCUCUCGAAACCAGUCUGUAUACCGCCGUCUCCCAGUUCGCUUUAUGACAAACCCAUAGCGAACACAACAGCCCACCACUCAGACGUCAGGUCAAGGUGCAACUAAUGAGGGGGACAGCGAUGGGCUACAUUUUCUACAGUAGAACACCACCAUCCACCACAUGAAACACAGGUCACAAGGCGGAUUUAGCAGUAAGCCAAACA